AGCAUCCGCUUCUACUUAUUUAAACAACCCUCUUCUCAACCACAGUACUACUACAACUCUCGCAAAUCGCUUGCAGCAUAACCAGGGCCCAAUUUUAACCUUACUGGUGAAUGCUGCCAUAAAAUAUUGUACCAAAACCUCAAGGGUUCUUAUGGGAUUUCUUCUUUCAGUUGCAGCCCUUUGAAAACAAAAAUAUUGAAAUUAAAAAAUGUCUUUGAAAUUCUUAAGCAUGUUGAAGCCUUGGAAAGCUAUUUGCUAAGUGCUUAUUCAAUGGAUGGAUUCUUCAUUUCGUUUGACGUUUUCGUUGAUAGAGACUGCACGUUACAUUAUAUAUGCGUAUACUAUAUGGCGGAUAUAUUUAAAUGCAUUUCAUAGUUGCCAAACAUUUUCCAGUUAAAUGAAAU
rnacentral:misc_RNA from 1 species